rnacentral:rRNA from 1 species
GAUGAACGCUGGCGGCGUGCCUAAUACAUGCAAGUCGAGCGAACAGAUGAGGAGCUUGCUCCUCUGACGUUAGCGGCGGACGGGUGAGUAACACGUGGAUAACCUACCUAUAAGACUGGAUAACUUCGGGAAACCGGAGCUAAUACCGGAUAAUAUAUUGAACCGCAUGGUUCAAUAGUGAAAGACGGUUUUGCUGUCACUUAUAGAUGGAUCCGCGCCGCAUUAGCUAGUUGGUAAGGUAACGGCUUACCAAGGCAACGAUGCGUAGCCGACCUGAGAGGGUGAUCGGCCACACGGGAACUGAGACACGGUCCAGACUCCUACGGGAGGCAGCAGUAGGGAAUCUUCCGCAAUGGGCGAAAGCCUGACGGAGCAACGCCGCGUGAGUGAUGAAGGUCUUCGGAUCGUAAAACUCUGUUAUUAGGGAAGAACAAAUGUGUAAGUAACUAUGCACGUCUUGACGGUACCUAAUCAGAAAGCCACGGCUAACUACGUG